rnacentral:sRNA from 1 species
CCGUCGCUCUCCUCCUUCCACCCAUCUCUUACCCCUCCCAUUGGCGAUGAACCGCUCUACCCAUGUUCCUUCCCUCCCACCAUCCUCGCAAAUAGCUCAUAUGCGACACCUGCACCCUGAUGCGGCAGCUUGGAUGUGGCCGCAGAGGCAGAGGCUUUUGAGGAGGCGGAUCCAAUACAGAUGAUGGCACUGUCGGACGGAUUCGGCUCGAAUAUGGCGGCGGUGGUGGUUGAGGCAGGUGCAUCUCGUUAUUUUGCAGAUGGAGGUGGAGGCUACGGGUGGAUGCGACGCAAUCAGUGGCGGAGGCAGAGGAUCUAAUGCAAGAGGAUGCACGAGCGUACGGUGGUGAAGGCAAACGAUUAAUCUCUGUUCUUGGUAGUUAGUUCUUGCUAAUUCUUGCAUUUGACCGUCCAAAGCAUUUCUUUUUUCAGAUUGGAGAUGUUAUAUUUCUUUCGGCAAGUGAAAAUUUUGAAUUUUUGGAUUUUUUUUUCGCAAGAUGUCGCUUGUGUUCUUCGUAUAUGCUGUGUAAUUAUUGGGUUUAGAGAAACAACAGUAUCGGAACGGAAGUAGUUAUUGGGGGC